rnacentral:piRNA from 1 species
GAGGCCGAAUGAUACUGGGCGACGCCAUG